rnacentral:rRNA from 1 species
UACGUAGGUGGCAAGCGUAUCCGGAAUUAUUGGGCGUAAAGCGCGCGCCGGCGGUUUCUUAAGGCUGAUGUGAAAGCCCACGGCUCAACCGUGGAGGGUCAUUGGAAACUGGGGAACUUGAGUGCAGAAGAGAAAAGCGGAAUUCCACGUGUAGCGGUGAAAUGCGUAGAGAUGUGGAGGAACACCAGUGGCGAAGGCGGCUUUUUGGUCUGUAACUGACGCUGAGGCGCGAAAGCGUGGGGAGCAAACAGG